GGGCCCGCACAAGCAGCGGAGCAUGUGGCUUAAUUCGACGCAACGCGAAGAACCUUACCAAGGCUUGACAUAUGCCGGAAACAUCCAGAGAUGGGUGCCCCCUUGUGGUCGGUAUACAGGUGGUGCAUGGUUGUCGUCAGCUCGUGUCGUGAGAUGUUGGGUUAAGUCCCGCAACGAGCGCAACCCUUGUUCUGUGUUGCCAGCGAGUAAUGUCGGGGACUCACAGGAGACUGCCGGGGUCAACUCGGAGGAAGGUGGGGACGACGUCAAAUCAUCAUGCCCCUUAUGUCUUGGGCUGCACACGUGCUACAAUGGUCGGUACAAAGGGCUGCGAUGCCGUGAGGCGGAGCGAAUCCCAAAAAGCCGGCCUCAGUUCGGAUUGGGGUCUGCAACUCGACCCCAUGAAGUUGGAGUUGCUAGUAAUCGCAGAUCAGCAUGCUGCGGUGAAUACGUUCCCGGGCCUU
rnacentral:rRNA from 1 species